rnacentral:rRNA from 1 species
UGAAUACGAGACGCUACGGCGUCGAAGCAGUCUAUGUCAUACUUCCAAGAAAAGCUCGCAAUGUCUUAAACAAAUAAUGCCUGUACCAUAACCGACACAGGUGGGUAGGUAGAGUAUACUAAGGGGCGCGAGAUAACUCUCUCUAAGGAACUCGGCAAAAUGACUCCGUAACUUCGGGAGAAGGAGUGCCUUAUUUAUAAGGUUGCAAUAACAAGAUCCAAGCAACUGUUUAUCAAAAACACAGGUCUCCGCUAAGUCGUAAGACGAUGUAUGGGGGCUGACGCCUGCCCAGUGCCAGAAGGUUAAAGAAGUUGGUUAGCAUUCGCGAAGCUGAUGACUGAAGCCCUGGUGAACGGCGGCCGUAACGAUAACGGUCCUAAGGUAGCGAAAUUCCUUGUCGGGUAAGUUCCGACCCGCACGAAAGGCGUAAUGAUUUGGAUACUGUCUCGGAGAGGGACUCGGUGAAAUAGACUUGUCUGUGAAGAUGCGGACUACCUGCACCUGGACAGAAAGACCCUAUGAAGCUUUACUGUAACUUGAAAUUGAAAUUGGACUUUAUUCGCGCAGUAUAGGUGGGAGGCGUUGAGAAUAUUCUUGCGGGAAUGUUGGAGCCAUCAGUGAGAUACCACCCUUGUAAUGUUAGAUUUCUAACUUUGUAUCAUGAUCUGGUCAAAGAACAGUUUCAGGCGGGCAGUUUGACUGGGGCGGUCGCCUCCCAAAUGGUAACGGAGGCGUACAAAGGUUUCCUCUGAACGGGUAGAAAUCGUAUCUAGAGUGUAAAGGCAUAAGGAAGCUUGACUGUGAGACCUACAAGUCGAGCAGGGACGAAAGUCGGUCUUAGUGAUCUGACGGUGCUGAGUGGAAAGGCCGUCACUCAACGGAUAAAAGUUACUCUAAGGAUAACAGGCUGAUCUCCCCCAAGAGUUCACAUCGACGGGGAGGUUUGGCACCUCGAUGUCGGCUCAUCGCAUCCUGGGGCGGUAGUACGUCCCAAGGGUUGGGCUGUUCGCCCAUGAAAGCGGUACGCGAGCUGGGUUCAGAACGUCGUGAGACAGUUCGGUCCAUAUCCGGUGUAGGCGUUAGAAUAUUGAGAGGAGCCUUCUUUAGUACGAGAGGACCGAGAAGGACAUACCUCUGGUGUACCAGUUAUCGUGCCAACGGUAAACGCUGGGUAGCUAUGUAUGGAGAGGAUAACCGCUGAAAGCAUCUAAGUGGGAAGCCCACCUCAAGAUAAGUAUUCUC